rnacentral:rRNA from 1 species
GUGGGGGAUAUUGCACAAUGGAGGAAACUCUGAUGCAGCAACGCCGCGUGAAGGAUGAAGGUCUUCGGAUUGUAAACUUUUGUACUUGGGGACGAUAAUGACGGUACCCAAGCAGCAAGCUCCGGCUAACUACGUGCCAGCAGCCGCGGUAAUACGUAGGGAGCAAGCGUUGUCCGGAUUUACUGGGUGUAAAGGGUGCGUAGGCGGCUAUGCAAGUCAGUUGUGAAAACUAUGGGCUCAACCCAUAGCCUGCAA